AGAACGGAUUAUAGCUUGCUAUAAUUGUCAGCUAAGUGGCGCACGGGUGAGUAAUGUAUAGAUAACCUGCCCUUAAGAAAGGAAUAACAGUUGGAAACGACUGCUAAUGCCCUAUAUGCCUUUAAUACAUAAGUAUGCAAGGGAAACGCUUUAGUGCUUAAGGAUGGGUCUGUAUGGUAUCAGCUUGUUGGUGAGGUAAUGGCUCACCAAGGCUAUGACGCCUAACUGGUUUGAGAGGAUGAUCAGUCACACUGGAACUGAGACACGGUCCAGACUCCUACGGGAGGCAGCAGUGGGGAAUAUUGCACAAUGGACGAAAGUCUGAUGCAGCAACGCCGCGUGGAGGAUGACACAUUUCGGUGCGUAAACUCCUUUUAUAUAGGAAGAUAAUGACGGUACUAUAUGAAUAAGCACCGGCUAACUCCGUGCCAGCAGCC
rnacentral:rRNA from 1 species